CUCGGUUGGCACUUGGACCUGGACACCUUCACCUCCCCCACCCCGCGUGGGGCCGUGACCUUCACCAACCUGGUGGCCACCUCGUCCCCUCCUGCCCCACAUCGUCUGGUCUUGGCUUGUCAUUACGACACCAAAAUCCUCCCGGCCCCACAAGUGACUCCGUUCAUCGGGGCCGUCGACUCCGCCGUCCCAUGCGCCAUCAUGAUGGAGGUGGCCGCUGCCCUGGAUGGAGCGUUAAGGAGAUAUAAUGAGGGGGACCCACAAGUGACCCUUCAGCUCCUGUUCCUGGAUGGAGAAGAAGCCUUUGAGGAAUGGAGCCCCACUGAUUCCAUCUAUGGGGCCCGGCACCUGGCUGCAAAGAUGGCGGCCACCCCACACGGAACCCAUGGGACUCAACUCAGUGCUAUGGUGAGGGACCCCAGUAUAGAGGGUGGGGGACACAAUGGGAUCGUGGGGACCCAAUUGGGAUCAUGGGGACCCAUAUGGGAUCAUAGGGACCCAUAUGGGAUCAUGGGGACCCAAUUGGGAUCAUGGGGACCCAAUUGGGAUCAUGGGGACCCAAUUGGGAUCAUAGGGACCCAAUUGGGAUCGUGGGGACCCAAUUGGGAUCAUGGGGACCCAAUUGGGAUCAUGGGGACCCAAAUGGGAUCAUAGGGACCCAAUUGGGAUCAUGGGGACCCAAAUGGGAUCAUAGGGAUCCAAUUGGGAUCAUAGGGACCCAAAUGGGAUCAUAGGGACCCAAAUGGGAUCAUGGGGACUCAAUUGGGAUCGUGGGGACCCAAUUGGGAUCAUAGGGACCCAGUUGGGAUCGUGGGGACCCAAUUGGGAUCAUGGGGACCCAAUUGGGAUCAUAGGGACCCGAAUGGGAUCAUGGGGACCCAAUUGGGAUCAUGGGGAUUCAAAUGGGAUCAUGGGGACCCAAAUGGGAUCAUGGGGACCUAUAUGGGAUCAUAGGGACCCAAAUGGGAUCAUGGGGACCCAAUUGGGAUCAUGGGGACUCAAUUGGGAUCAUAGGGACCCAAUUGGGAUCAUGGGGACCCAAAUGGGAUCAUAGGGAUCCAUUUGGGAUCAUGGGGACCCAAUUGGGAUCAUGGGGACUCAAUUGGGAUCAUGGGGACCCAAUAGGGAUCAUAGGGACCCGAAUGGGAUCAUGGGGACCCAAUUGGGAUCAUGGGGACCCAAAUGGGAUCAUAGGGACCCAAUUGGGAUCAUAGGGACCCAAAUGGGAUCAUGGGGACUCAAUUGGGAUCAUGGGGACCCGAAUGGGAUCACGGGGACCCAAUUGGGAUCAUGGGGACCUAUAUGGGAUCAUAGGGACCCAAUUGGGAUCAUGGGGACCCAAUUGGGAUCAUAGGGACCCAAUUGGGAUCGUGGGGACCCAAUUGGGAUCAUAGGGACCCAAUUGGGAUCGUGGGGAUCCAAUUGGGAUCAUGGGGACCCAAAUGGGAUCAUGGGGACCCAAUUGGGAUCAUGGGGACCCAAAUGGGAUCAUAGGGACCCAAUUGGGAUCGUGGGGACCCAAAUGGGAUCACGGGGACCCAAAUGGGAUCAUGGGGACCCAAUUGGGAUCGUGGGGACCCAAAUGGGAUCGUGGGGACCCAAUUGGGAUCAUGGGGACCCAUAUGGGAUCGUGGGGACCCAAUUGGGAUCGUGG
ensembl:lncRNA